GAUGAACGCUAGCUACAGGCUUAACACAUGCAAGUCGCGGGGCAGCAUUUUCUUAGCUUGCUAAGGAAGAUGGCGACCGGCGCACGGGUGAGUAACGCGUAUCCAACCUUCCCAUGUCCACGGGAUAGCCCGUCGAAAGGCGGAUUAAUACCGUAUGAGGUCACAUGCGGGCAUCUAACUGUGACGAAAGGUUUAGCGGACAUGGAUGGGGAUGCGUCCGAUUAGCUAGUUGGCGGGGUAACGGCCCACCAAGGCGACGAUCGGUAGGGGUUCUGAGAGGAAGGUCCCCCACACUGGUACUGAGACACGGACCAGACUCCUACGGGAGGCAGCAGUGAGGAAUAUUGGUCAAUGGGCGCAGGCCUGAACCAGCCAAGUCGCGUGAGGGAGGACGGUCCUACGGAUUGUAAACCUCUUUUGUCGGGGAGUAACGUGCGGGACGGGUCCCGUAUUGAGAGUACCCGAAGAAAAAGCAUCGGCUAACUCCGUG
rnacentral:rRNA from 1 species